rnacentral:rRNA from 1 species
CCUACGGGGGGCAGCAGUAGGGAAUAUUGCUCAAUGGGGGAAACCCUGAAGCAGCAACGCCGCGUGGAGGAUGAAGGUUUUAGGAUUGUAAACUCCUUUUGUUAGAGAAGAUAAUGACGGUAUCUAACGAAUAAGCACCGGCUAACUCCGUGCCAGCAGCCGCGGUACUACGGAGGGUGCAAGCGUUACUCGGAAUCACUGGGCGUAAAGAGCGCGUAGGCGGGAUAGCAAGUCAGAUGUGAAAUCCUAUGGCUUAACCAUAGAACUGCAUUUGAAACUGUUAGUCUAGCGUAUGGGAGAGGUAGGUGGAAUUCUUGGUGUAGGGGUAAAAUCCGUAGAGAUCAAGAGGAAUACUCAUUGCGAAGGCGACCUGCUAGAACAUAACUGACGCUGAUGCGCGAAAGCGUGGGGAGCAAACAGGAUGAGAUACCCCUGUAGUC